rnacentral:lncRNA from 1 species
AAAUGUCUCAACAUUUCCCUUUCUCCAAUUGAACCCCGAUCUCCAGAAAAUGCCUCAAUAUUUCCCUUUCUCCAUUUGGACCCCGCUCUCCAGAAAAUGUCUCAACAUUUCCCUUUCUCCAAUUGAACCCCGAUUGUCGCGCUGAUCGCGUAAUGUCCUUUGAUUUUAUUUCCAUCUCCGCCCGACGGAAAAUUUCCUCCACUAUCGCCCUACUGGAGAACAUUACUGCCCUGACGUCAUGAUGCUAAACUCCUCAGAGUAAC